GAAAUAUAAAUUAAAUAAAGCUGCUAACUUUAUUUCUAGUGAUUAAAUCCAUUAAUAUUUCU
rnacentral:tRNA from 1 species